ensembl:lncRNA
AUGGCGAGUAUGGCUGAGGGUUUCGGCAGGGAAUUGGGUGCAGAAAACAGGCCCUUGUAUGGUGAAAUCAUGCAGACCCUCAUUCCUUCGGCCUUACGGAAGACUAUUUUGGGGCAUUUUGAACUCUCCCACGCAAGCACAACAAUUUUGGGACGCCUGCGGAACGGCACUGUCUUUGACGUACUGUUAAACCCAACGCCGAUCUGUGACCAAAGAAGAGGCCAGAAUAACAUCAGGCUUCCAGAAGACCACAAAAGGAGAGAUAAGAUUGUACUGAGGGACAGCAGUGAAAGAAACGAUGAAGCAUUGAGAUUCAUGCUGGAGCGAAGACAGCUUUGAUCUGAGGAUCAUCCUCCCUUUUCCUGUCUCGUCGUUUGGAUGACUGACAGUGAAUUCUUCCUGAGUACGAUUUAUUUCAUUCAGAAAAUCCCAUUUUCUCAUGCUGGCUUCUUUUUCCUCUCCUCACAUGCACUCACUAGCAGUCUCAUUAACUCAUUUAUUUCAUUGGCUUGAGACAACAAAGCAGCACUGCAGCUUUGGAAUGUUAAAGAAAAAAAAAAACAGUACAACUGCCCAGUCUUCUAGAGAAGUUUUGUCCAUUUUCCUAGAAUCCCCCAGUUGGAUGCAGUAGCAGCAGCUGUCACUGUCGCUCUCUCUAGCCUGGCGCAAAACAGCAUUGUACUUUUAAUGGGUGAUUAGUGUCAGAUAUCUGGCUAUUGCUGCCUGAGCCUCAACUGUGGGAAAUAGUUAUGCAUCCUGCACCUGACUGGCUCAGUUUAGAGUUUCCUGCUAUCUAAGGAGGAACACAGGGAUCUAGCACACACAAAACCCGACUUAGGAGAUCGACUCUACUAAAUGGUAUUUCAUGAAGAUAAGCACAGCUCUGCCACUCAGCAAGAGCCUCUCAAACCUUUACUGGGCCAAGGGGCAUAGUACAGAAGUUCACCCAGGCAUUUUGCAGCCCAGAAAUUCCCAUUUUCUUUAUGACAGUUUGGCUGGCCUUCUUUUGGAAACUGAAAAGUCUUGCUGAGAGUUAUUGUGCACAUUCAUUUGGGUCAAGUGAGGUGAAUUCCUUGGCCUGGUGGUAUGAAUUAAUAGCAAAUGUUCACAAUGUACAAAACCUAGAGCCUCAAAUUGAACUGGGACACUUUGAUGCCCAGUCUGUUGAUAAUAAAGAACAUAGAAAGGAUCAUUGUACACAGUCAAAUUAUUGUUGCAUUUUUGGCAACAAACAGGCAUCGGGGAAACUAUCAUUAUAUUUUCCAGCACUGUAAAAAUGCUCCUUUUCAAACAAUAUCUCCCUUUGUUUUCUUAAAAGGCUCAAUAUUUAGAGGAGGUUGCUGUCUAAAGGAAACAAUUGCACGAAUAUCCUGCUUCCACUUAUCACAGUAUCAUAUUUACUGGAUUUGGCUUCUCCCUUUAUGCAUUUCGCAAGGACUUGCAAACUCCGUCCUCCAGUGAAUCCCCUGCAGCAGUGGGCUGACUCAAUCGGCAGUAUGAUGUGGAUUGUGAGGAACAGCUCUGAAAAAGCAUUGCCACAUAAUCGCCUGCAUGUGGCACAUCAUGCAACUGUUUGGAGAACGCUGAAAACAAACAGAGACACAGACAUUAACAUUUGGUUAUACAGCGAAGAAAAAGCACAUGAACUUUGUUUAAUUUGCCUCUUCGUCUCUCUCAGCUUGCAGGCAACGUCUUUGUCUCCCGCUCUCUCUGGCUGUACUGGCACGGCAGCAUGUGAAUGAUGCCCCUCACAGCAGCUCAGAGCGGUGGGUAGACGGCUGUCUGUGUGACGGCUGCGGUGUCCUCUCUAAGACAAAGGGAACUUGGCAGGCUGCUGGGCUGCGGCUGGAUCAAACAGGCCUUGUUUAUUGGACCUCUCCUUCUUUGCUCUGCGCUCAUCAGAGGCUGUGUGUGAGACUGCAGUCUGAAGUGUCUCAGAGAUCUGCUCACUCCUCGAAGACGGGAACCACUCAGACCACACACAGGGCCGCUUCGAGCACCACAAAGGAGGACCGGGGAAGACGCUGACACACUCACCGUGCAUAUGCUCUCUUUAUGACUUCUACGGUUUAUAUCUGUAUUGAUUUAAAAAGAAAAUGUCCUUCCCCUGCUCUUCACAUUUGCUUCAGUUUUUGCUCAUGGGGUUUCAUUGUCUCGUUUUUUUUUCUUCUCUCUCUUACUCGGCUUCUCUCACCAGCCCCCUGCCUUACCUUCUCUGUGUCCCUACACUCACUCUGAGAACAAUGUCCUUGCUCCUGCUCUGUGUUUUUCCAUGGUGCUAGCGCUGGAAUGCGUGCCUGUUAAAGGUGAUAUAUAUUUGCUAUCGGCGGAGAGAGAGAGAAGGCCUUCAUUACUGCGUGAUACAGAUAGAAGGGGAAAGGUUGAACAGCAGUUCCCAGAAGCACUAUUUAACAGCCUUGCCUCUGGGUGCAGGGGCACCAUUGGAUGUUUCAUACAGUGAAGACUCCCGAUGGUUAAUCUUACAACAGCAUGACAGCAGAAGGCGGUGGGAAGUAUGCAGGAGAGUGUGGUGGUGGUUUUAAGAGAGUGAGUAUGAUAAGUGAGAGAUAGUGAUCAGCCUGACAAGUUUAAGUGGAAGACGUGGACGGACGAUCACGUAUGAACAGGUUACUGUCUUAUCCUACAUCUACCGUUGGGUUCCCAGAGACUCUUCAGCUCUCGAGGCUGACACACGCACAGGACAGAAGAUUUAAGAUUAAAGUUACGACUCCAGGGAAGAAGCGAAGAGGAGAGCAGAGUGUUUUCCCUAUGUGCGCCCCUCUUUCCUCUAAAUGUUAUGUGUUUGACUGACAGACAGUUCUUAUUCUCCCACAUCCUCCUAUCGCUGGCCUUGAUUCCCACGCUGAGCACCAAUACUGAUGGGAAAGAUUCAAGAAACAGGGACACUCUAAAAAUUCCAGGAUUCUUGCGGUGUGUACACAUUUGUCACACAGGAAAAUGGCACACUGCAAAAAAUGUCCAAUUUCAGUCAUAAAAUGAGUCAAUAAAAAUUAGCAGAGGAGCUUUAAAGCACUGAAAAAGAUGUACAACAAUACCUUUGUU